GGGCCCGCACAAGCGGUGGAGUAUGUGGUUUAAUUCGAUGCAACGCGAAGAACCUUACCAGGGUUUGACAUCCUGCGAAUCUCUUGGAAACGAGAGAGUGCCUUCGGGAACGCAGUGACAGGUGGUGCAUGGCUGUCGUCAGCUCGUGUCGUGAGGUGUCAGGUUAAGUCCUAUAACGAGCGCAACCCCUGUUGUUAGUUGCCAGCAUUUAGUUGGGCACUCUAGCGAGACCGCCGGUGAUAAACCGGAGGAAGGUGUGGAUGACGUCAAGUCAUCAUGCCCCUUACAUCCUGGGCUACACACGUACUACAAUGCUACGGACAAAGGGCAGCAAACUCGCGAGAGCUAGCAAAUCCCAUAAACCGUGGCUCAGUUCAGAUCGUAGGCUGCAACUCGCCUACGUGAAGGAGGAAUCGCUAG
rnacentral:rRNA from 1 species